AGAACUUGAUACUUUUCAACUUAAAAGUGAUAUAUCAAGUUUAAGGCAUGGUGAUGCUUUAUAGUAAGCUAUCCAUUAUGGUUAAAUACAGGCUCAUGUUCUUCUGAACUCUGAAAUCUGAUUUGAAACUUUGUUGGACUUCUGUGGACACACAGUUAUCCUUUUAGUGGGCUAGUUCUCCAGCCAAACUUCAGAGGACCUAUGCAAAGCCAGGAAAGACUCUUUGGAGUCCUGCAAGGUUCAAGUCAGGCAGAAGGAUCCACCCUCCCCAUGGGCAACAGAUAUUUUUUCAAGAUUAAAUGUUUCAGGAACAGAGAUGGAUAACACCAGACAUUCUAAAUAGCAUCAGGGGGUUGCAGGUUGCAGAAUGCUGGCUAUUGAUAUUACAGCCCAGGAUUGCACAGCAGCUUUCUUUGGAAGUAACAAUGGUUUCUCUUCAGAAGAGGGAAGACAAACCUCCUCCUGAAGGUGAUGAUAACAAUAAAGGGAGCCUAAGAAAUGAAGCUAGACUUAAACUACACUGCUACUUUUUAGGCAGCUGAAAUGAAAUUAUUUUU
rnacentral:lncRNA from 1 species